rnacentral:lncRNA from 1 species
AUCCUCGCCCGGCGCCUCACUCACCAAGGGCCGCGCCGGGGUUCUGCACUGUCACUGCGCUGCGGUUCCCCGCCUUAGGGAUUCUCACACGGUUCCACGGCUCCAGGCCCGGCGGCACCGCAGCCAUCAUGCGAGGCGGGGGGACUUACGAAAGGCGGAGCUACGCGAGAGCACGUCCAGCGACCGGAGGCAUUUUCAUCUUGCACUGGGCCCCACAAACGAUGGAGACAGUACUGCAUAGAAUCAGAAUGUUGGAGCUGGAAGGACUUUGAGAGGUCAUCCGUUCCACCCCCACCCAUCUUGCAGAUGAAGAAACUGAAGCUAGGACAGUAGCACUGGCCAUCUUCAGUCACAAGCUCAUUCACGUCAGAGCAACAG